AUUGAACGCUGGCGGCAGGCUUAACACAUGCAAGUCGAACGAGUGGCGGACGGGUGAGUAAUGUCUGGGAAACUGCCUGUUGGAGGGGGAUCACUACUGGAAACGGUAGAUAAUACCGCAUACCAUCAGAUGUGCCAAGAUGGGAUUGGCUAGUUGGUGGGGUAACGGCUAAUAAAGGCGACGAUCCCUAGCUGGUCGGAGAGGCUGACCAGCCACACUGGAACUGAGACAGGGUCCAGAUUCCACCGGGAGGAAGCAGUGGGGAAUAUUGCACAAUGGGCGCAGGCCGGAUGCAGCAAUGCCCGGGGUAUGAAGAAGGCCUUCGGUUUGUAAAGUACUUUCAGCGGGGAUGCGGUACCCGCAGAAGAAGCAACGGCUAACUACGUGCCAGCAGCCGCGGUAAUUC
rnacentral:rRNA from 1 species